rnacentral:rRNA from 1 species
UACGUAGGGUGCAAGCGUUGUCCGGAAUUAUUGGGGCGUAAAGAGCUCGUAGGCGGUUUGUUGCGUCGGCUGUGAAAUCCCGAGGCUCAACCUCGGGUCUGCAGUCGAUACGAGCAAACUAGAGUGUUGCAGGGGAGACUGGAAUUCCUGGUGUAGCGGUGAAAUGCGCAGAUAUCAGGAGGAACACCGGUGGCGAAGGCGGGUCUCUGGGCAACAACUGACGCUGGAGGAGCGAAAGCGUGGGGGAGCGAACAGG